rnacentral:lncRNA from 1 species
ACAGAGGGAGGGGCAGCCUCGAUCUCGCACAAAGGAGACUAUAAAAGGAGCUGCGGUGAACCGGGCUCGUUCUUUUACGACGGAGCCUAAGAUAUUCUUUGUCUUGUCGAUGGAGGGGAGCCCAAAGCAUCUGAGAGAAUUGAUAAAUGAAAGAAACAUGCUUAAAACAUGACCGUUUUAAAGGGUGUGUAUUGAAGCCUAGAUUUUUUCCCUUGUAAGCAUGCAAACAUACCGUUGUGAAGUAAGAAUCCGGGUUCCUGGAAAUGUAUUGUGAAGUAGUCCUGGCCAAACUACUCUGGCCUUUGCAAUUUGGAGUGACUGUUGUGAAUGCAUGGUGUACAAAUUGAUUGUACAAACAGUUGUGAGACAUACCGGGUCAGAACAGUGAUGAAAUACAUCCCGAAGAUGAUGACCUGAAGAUAAAUGCAGCUUCUGAGAGAAGACCAUUGUGUUUAAGUGGUAGUCUUGUUAAUGCAGUUCUUACUCAUAGCAUGUCAUGGUACCUCUUUCUGUAGUGAAUGCUGACCAGUGAGAUGCCAGCCUGCGUGUGAAGAUCCUACAGCAGAAGUGCAUGGCCAGUGACACAAGAACUUGCGAGAGAUGCCAGUCCGCCUGUGAAGAUCCUGCAGCAGGAGUGCAUAGCCAGUGACACAAGACGUGCGAAUGAAAACUAGAUGUGACCAUCCAGAAAAAGCAUAGACAAAAAAAUGCAGUCUUAGUACUGGGAUGUUUGAGAUGGGGUCUAUCUACAUGUCUCUAGCUGUCCCUAUCAGGACAGCAUCUGGUGUGGCCUGCAGAGUUGAUUCCUGUACUUUUUUUUUUUUGUGGGCUGUAUGUAAAUGGAUUGUUUUGACAAUCCAUUCGACAGUGUUCUCUUCUGUGAAGGUCAUAGGUGAGCUGAUUGACAGACACAGCUGUACAGACUGAAUGCAAUCCUGACUAUAAAGCUGCAGUUCAUCAUUAUGAGCUAUUUCCUUAUUCUGGCAGUGAUUGAAAUAAAAUGGGGAGUAUUGAAAUAAAAAACAUUCAAUUGCAAA